rnacentral:rRNA from 1 species
AGAGUUUGAUCCUGGCUCAGGACGAACGCUGGCGGUGUGCUUCACACAUGCAAGUCGAACGGAGUAGCAAUACUCAGUGGCGGACGGGUGAGUAACACGUGGGAAUCUACCAUUAGGUGGGGAAUAACAGGCCGAAAGGACUGCUAAUGCCGCAUAUGUAGGCAUCUCGACAGAGAUGUUUAUGAAAGGAGUAAUCCGCCUUUUGAUGAGCCCGCGUCCGAUUAGCUAGUUGGUAGGGUAAAAGCCUACCAAGGCGACGAUCGGUAGGUGGUCUGAGAGGAUGAUCACCCACAAUGGGACUGAGACACGGCCCAUACUCCUACGGGAGGCAGCAGUGGGGAAUUUUACGCAAUGGGGGAAACCCUGACGUAGCGACACCGCGUGAGCGAAGAAGCCCUUUGGGGUGUAAAGCUCUGUCAACAGGAACGAAACAAAUGACGGUACCUGUGGAGGAAGCAUCGGCUAACUACGUGCCAGCAGCCGCGGUAAGACGUAGGAUGCAAGCGUUGUCCGGAUUUAUUGGGCGUAAAGAGUUCGUAGGCGGUUUGUUAAGUCGGGGGUGAAAUCCCGGAGCUCAACUCCGGAACUGCCUUCGAUACUGAAAGUCUGGAGCACGGUAGAGGUGAGUGGAAUUCCGAGUGUAGCGGUGAAAUGCGUAGA